GUUACAGUCUGAAAAAGAGAUAAGCUGGAAAAAAAGAAAAAUAAGCAAAUGGAAACAGAAACUCUGUUAAGUAUUCCUGAACUGCUGGAAGGCAGUUGUUGCUUAUUCUAAGGAAGGAAUAUACUCAGGCCAAUCUACAUCUUUGUCUCAAGAUAGCAGAUGCACUUGGAAACCAUUUUUUGCUUCUUUUCCAGGCUGACCAUAAGCUUCAUUCUACUGUGUGAUCUUAAGAUGAAGGUUUCACCUGAAGAAAGCAUUGGAUUGAGACUCAGAAGCCCUGACCCGUACCUUUGGUGACUGUUCCAGACCAGGUGCAUGACUGUAGGUGAGUUGCAUCAUGUUCCUCUGCCUUUGUUUCCCACAGGUAGUUAUAUCCCACUGUUAUGAAGUGCUGGGAGAUGUUGCAGUGAGAGCUAAGUGUGAUUUGCUGUCUUGAGAGAAAACACACAACACACAGCUCUUAGCAUCAUAGGUACUAUAGUUCCAAAGCUUGGCAGCCUGCCGUUAGAGGUAACUAUAUCUUACUAUGUACUGGGAAUAAAAAGCUAGUCGGAGUGACAGUGAUAGCUGUUUACUUCCAAUUUAACCUGGUUAUGU
rnacentral:lncRNA from 1 species